GACGAACGCUGGCGGCGUGCUUAACACAUGCAAGUCGAACGGAAAGGCCCUGCUUGCAGGGUACUCGAGUGGCGAACGGGUGAGUAACACGUGGGUGAUCUGCCCUGCACUUCGGGAUAAGCCUGGGAAACUGGGUCUAAUACCGGAUAGGAGCCAUUUUUAGUGUGAUGGUUGGAAAGUUUUUUCGGUGUAGGAUGAGCUCGCGGCCUAUCAGCUUGUUGGUGGGGUAAUGGCCUACCAAGGCGGCGACGGGUAGCCGGCCUGAGAGGGUGGACGGCCACAUUGGGACUGAGAUACGGCCCAGACUCCUACGGGAGGCAGCAGUGGGGAAUAUUGCACAAUGGGCGCAAGCCUGAUGCAGCGACGCCGCGUGGGGGAUGACGGCCUUCGGGUUGUAAACUCCUUUCGCUAGGGACGAAGCUUUUGUGACGGGACCUAGAUAAGAAGCACCGGCGAACUAAGU
rnacentral:rRNA from 1 species